GACGAAGGGGGCUAGCGUUGUUCGGAAUUACUGGGCGUAAAGCGAGUGUAGGUGGUUGUCAUAGUCAGGUGUGAAAGCCUUGAGCUCAACUCAAGAAAUGCACUUGAUACUGGGCGACUAGAGGACCGGAGAGGAUAGUGGAAUUCCCAGUGUAGUGGUGAAAUACGUAGAGAUUGGGAAGAACACCAGUGGCGAAGGCGGCUAUCUGGACGGUACUGACGCUGAGACGCGAAAGCGUGGGGAGCGAACAGG
rnacentral:rRNA from 1 species